UCUGAGUAUGAUGACUGUGGCCGCCUUC
rnacentral:sRNA from 1 species